rnacentral:misc_RNA from 1 species
UCGGUGUUUACAUGUUCGAGCCGAGUCCCUUCUAAGAAAGCUCUCCGGAUCAGAAAGUGUCGUAGAACGGUGUGUUGCCUUCUCUCCACAGUCUGUGGUAGGAUACGCAACACGCUGGACCGAUGCUAGAUGGGGAAGGAGAGCGUGGCACCGAGUCCCUUCAGAGAAAGCUCUCCGGAUCAGAAAGUGUCGUAGAACGGUGUGUUGCCUUCUCCCCACAGUCUGUGGUAGGAUACGCAACACGCUGGACCGAUGCUAGUAGGGGAAGGAGAGCGUGGCACCGAGUCCCUUCAGAGAAAGCUCUCCGGAUCAGAAAGUGUCGUACAACGGUGUGUUGCCUUCUCCCCACAGUCUGUGGUACGAUACGCAACACGCUGGAGCGAUGCUAGAUGGGGAAGGAGAGCGUAGCCCCUGUGACGGUAAUUGUUGCCGAUGUAACACCCGCGCGCUGUGGACACUCAGGACGCCUUCAUGCAAGCGAUUCUCCCAUGCUAUGCGUGGGAGGAGGCUUGGUAGGUUAGACUGCUGUGGCUACGCGAGCGCAUGAGUAGCUUUGGACCCGUGUCUGUUGGUAGAUCCCCCGUCCUCGUGCGGCCGACUACCGACGCCGUGUCCCAUCAUUCGUGUGGCUUAUGUUACAGUUGCCUUUCAAGUGCUUGCGUGCAUGUACCCGACCUACGGGAAGUGGUGCUUCGUACAUGUUUGCCUCGCGGCGGACACCUUCGGGUGUACCGUUGUGGCCUAAUGGCGCUUGCGGCGUUUCCUCGUGGUGCUGGCAUGUUUUUUGCUCGGUGCUAUCAAGGAAGCCUCGUUAUCGCUGUUGGUUUCGGAUGCUGCUCAUGAUAAAGGCUCAUGGCCCUUUUGGUGCCUAGAACCGACACAGAAGCUAUCUGGAUCAGAACGUGUCGUAGAACGGGAUGUUGCCUCUACCUCUCCACAGUUAGUGGUAGGAUACGCAGCAGGCUGGACCGAUGCUAGUAGGAGAAGGAAAGCUUAGCCCGCUCAAUUGCGACAACCGGCUCGGCCGUUGUCUGCCUGCAAGGGCGGAUUGCUACCGAUGCUGGACGUCAAAGAGGACGUGCU